rnacentral:rRNA from 1 species
UACGGGGGGGGUAAGCGUUGUUCGGAAUUACUGGGCGUAAAGGGCGUGUAGGCGGGAAGGAAAGUCAGAUGUGAAAUCCCCAGGCUCAACCUGGGAACUGCAUUUGAAACUCCCUUUCUUGAGUACCGGAGAGGAAAGUGGAAUUCCUGGUGUAGAGGUGAAAUUCGUAGAUAUCAGGAGGAACACCAGUGGCGAAGGCGGCUUUCUGGACGGUAACUGACGCUGAGACGCGAAAGCGUGGGGAGCAAACAGG